rnacentral:piRNA from 1 species
UAGCAGGAUGUUCUUGGAUUCAGGUCUCU